GUUGAUUACAUACAUUGGAAACUAAAUGCUAAGAGUAUCGGUUCACAUCGGACACAUAACAACGUUGGAUCACAACAAACUACUCAAAAUCCGGAAGCAAUUCCAUAACUGCUUUUGACAGCUCCUCGUUCACUCUCAUUUAACUACGAACAAUAGCUUUUAUUAUGGAUUUUACUAUAACUUUGAUACGUUUAUGUGUAUUAUCUUCAUAUGAUAAUCAUGGAAAACUGUAAGGAUCGUAACGCAAAUGUUUACACUAGUUGUUUUAGCGCUAAAUAUUUUCCUUGAGUUCAAACGUCAUGUCAGAUCACAGCAGCAGUUAGAACGUAUUAUCAAGCGGUGGGUAUCUACUACCAAGCCAGUACAGUAGAUCUACAAAUAAUUGUCAUGUUAAAACAUCUUGUUGGAUAAAUGUACUAGUUUGCAAGCUAACGUUAGCUAGUUAACUAGAAACCUAAAAUUGUUUUCCAAACAGGUGUUAUUGAGAAAGCUUGGCUGCUCCACUGACACAGUUCGAGCAUAUAUAUGACAAAUGCAAGUAGGCCCACGCAUUUUGAGUAUUUAUUAAAAUUGUACUGAAUGAUUAGUCUCGAAAACCGGAGCGUUUGAAAAUUGUGGGAGGCAACGCGGAUGUCUAGACACUACUGAAUGAUCUUUCCAUUUUGAUGUGUGGUUAAAUGUUUCCUUUCUAGAUUGCCAAAGAAGUUUAAUGGCGUCAGAGCCUUGGCGUGAAGUCAGCUGAGAGAGCUGCUGCCAUAAGGGAGAUUUAUAAACCCCUCCAUGACCAUGUCUACCAUCUACAGGUAGGAAGGAAGCCUACAAUACUUUAGUCUCCAUACACACUAAGAUUGUAAAGUGUAAUAUUGGACUUACACUAUCUCUUUAAGAAUCCUAUCUGGCUCCAGAGUUUAAGCAGAUGAUGGAUUAUUGUCGAAGUGAUGAGACCAUUAAAGAGGGACCGUUGAGUUUAAUGCAGACAGAAGCAGAUACGUUUUCCAUAAAUAUUUCCUAUUUGAAAUAGGUGGUGCAUGUCAUUAUUUUAAAUCUUUUGAAGCCCCAAGGAUCUUGCGCUUGCCUAUGUUUAAAAAAAUAAUAAUGUAAAGCUUCUGUGAUGAGCUGGAACACUUUGAACAUUCUACAGACCCAACAGAAUGAACUACAGGAUCCUCCUGAACAAGCUAGGAUUUGACAAUAGCUUUUUACUACCCCUCUCCGUGUGCAGUAUCUGUAGCCUCUCACAUCUCUGCCCUACCCUAACUGUUGCGGACGCUGCCUAGACAGCCACAAGGCCUUCAUGGUGAAAUAUGACAUUCAUGAAGACCUGGACCUCGUCUACCAUUACGACAACGCAGAGGUCACUCAAUGUGUCUCUGGGGAAAAAGUUCACUGAAGGGAACCUCUACUUUGGUGACAUGAAACAGGUGCCUCUGAGUGAGAGUGUCUACAGAGGUAGAGCAGGGAAUGACAGAGGGUCUCCUAUACAGAGGACAACACAUGCACGGUGCCCUGCCCAUCUCCUCUGGCCAGUGCUGGAACCUCAUUGUCUGGAUGAGGGCCUCACAGGAGUGGAAAAAAACUGUGCCCCAUGUGCAAAAAGAAGCCUACCUUGGUCGAGGGACAGGGCUUCACAGAUGGCUUCACCAGUGACUCAGGGAUGUCUCUUCUACAGGAUGUAUCAUGCGUUCCGUGUUAACUUAAUGCUGCUGGUCCAUAUGUAUUUGUGUAUGUUAGUAUGAUUUGUGUCUGGAUGUCUGCUUAUCGUGGACAUUAUCGCAUGUGCCAAAAAAGAGUUAUAGAGAGGAAAUGUGGUAGACAUUAGGAACAUUAUUUCUACAUAACAAUGCACAACAUAUUUUAUUACGCAGUGUCACAUUUAUUUCAAUCUUUUCUAAAUAAUUAUGUCCAUAAAAAAUAUGUGUAGCCCGU